rnacentral:rRNA from 1 species
CUACGGGACGCAGCAGUGAGGAAUAUUGCACAAUGGGGGAAACCCUGAUGCAGCAACGCCGCGUGGAGGAUGACGCAUUUCGGUGUGUAAACUCCUUUUAUCAGAGAAGAAAAUGACGGUAUCUGAUGAAUAAGCUCCGGCUAACUCCGUGCCAGCAGCCGCGGUAAUACGGAGGGAGCAAGCGUUAUUCGGAAUCACUGGGCGUAAAGGACGCGUAGGCGGGUUUUUAAGUCAGGUGUGAAAUCCUAUGGCUCAACCAGAGAACUGCACUUGAAACUGGGGACCUAGAGUAUGGAAGGGGCAGGUGGAAUUAGUGGUGUAGGGGUAAAAUCCGUAGAUAUCACUAGGAAUACCGAAAGCGAAGGCGACCUGCUGGGACAUUACUGACGCUGAGGCGUGAAAGCGUGGGGAGCAAACAGGAUUAGAUACCCUGGUAGUC